rnacentral:rRNA from 1 species
UACGUAGGUGGCAAGCGUUGUCCGGAAUUAUUGGGCGUAAAGCGCGCGCAGGUGGUUUCUUAAGUCUGAUGUGAAAGCCCACGGCUCAACCGUGGAGGGUCAUUGGAGACUGGGGAACUUGAGUGCAGGAGAGAAGAGUGGAAUUCCACGUGUAGCGGUGAAAUGCGUAGAGAUGUGGAGGAACACCAGUGGCGAAGGCGACUCUUUGGCCUGUAACUGACACUGAGGCGCGAAAGCGUGGGGAGCAAACAGG